rnacentral:pre_miRNA from 11 species
GUCUUUGGUUAUCUAGCUGUAUGAGUGUUAAUCAUCCAUCAUAAAGCUAGAUAACCGAAAGU